GACCCUGUAAGUGGCUGCGGCGGGAAGAUGGCGGAGCUGCGCGUGCUCGUAGCUGUCAAGAGGGUCAUCGACUACGCCGUGAAGGUGAUCGGGCCCCCCUCUCCCACAUCCCUGAGUCCCGCAGCCGUGUGCUUCCGGGGCCACGAGCGCACACUGGGUGGGGGUCUUCUCGUAACCCCCGACCUCUGCCGCUUUAACCCCCAAACGUCAAAGUCACCUGAGGGCAAAAAUCCAAGAGUGAAGUUCUAACAUCCGAUCCCUCCGGGGUCACGGCCAUGUUCUCUUUUCCCUCGUUCUGGAUUCACUCUCUUGAUAACUGUUCAGAGUGAGUUGCUUUCUCUAUUUCUUACCCACUGGAAGAAGUCACGGUCCCUGUUUAAUGCACGGAGAAACUGAGGCACAGAGAGGUCACCCAGCUAGAGAAGGGCAGAGCCGAGAGUUCUAUCCAGGUUCCUCUGACUGCUUUCACCCACUAGGCUGCAUUACUUACCAUUGUACUCUUAUAUUACCCGAAAUGUGCUAUAGAGGGAGUCAGACAGGGUCCUGUGGGGCCCCAGAAGCUGCUUUCCACCCUCCAUAGCCACAGGGUGAGCCAGGAGGCUCUAGCUAGGGAGAGAGAAGUGUGUUUGCUAGAGAUGAAAGUUCAAGGAGCCAACCUGACUGAGCUGGGGGUAGCUCACAUUCUCCAUGAAAGAGGUGGGGGAGGGUGCUCUCAGCGCCUGGCUUGUUGUCCCCAGAGGGAAGCUGGUGUGGACAGAGGUGAAUCAGACACGGUCUCUCAGGCCCGUUUCUCUCAAUGCUUGGCCUGAACUGGACUGAAGAUGGUGACUGUCUGUCCAUGUCUGUCCUUCCCAUCAGCCUGGGGACUUACCUCCGUGUCCCCAGCAUUACCUAGCGCAGGGCCUGGCACCCUGGAGGCCUCAGGGUGGGCAAAACCAGGGUCACAAAGUUGACACUGAUACUGCCCCUGCCUGCUUAGGGAGUGGGCUGGGGAAGAGGGUACAGGAGCCAGACUUGAGCAUGAAAGUGUCAGUGAUGAUAGCAGCCAGCAUUUAGCGGGUACUUACGUGGCAGGCAUCGUUCCAAGUCCUUUGCAGAGAUUAACCCAUUCAGUCCUUUCAGUACCCUUUGUAUUAUUUAUUAUUUAUUUUUAUUUUUUGAGACGGAGUUUUGCUCUUUUUGCCCAGGCUGGAGUGCAAUGGCGGAGGUUGCAGUGAACCGAGAUCGUGCCACUGCACUCCAGCCUGGGUGACAGAGGGAGACUCCGUCUCACAAAAAAAAAAAAAAAAAAAAAAACCCAGGAGAGGCUGGGCAAUUUUGUAUUCAUUAUCUGGGAUUCAUUUUCUUAGAGAUGACCCCACAGGAUAGAAACUCCAGGCCCAGAAAACGUGUUUCCAUCUCGGGGCCCAACCCCGACCAGCCACACCCUCUCGUCUGGGAGCGCCUGGUGUUUCUUCAGGUUUUCCUCUUUGGGCUCCACGCACUUGCCCCUCCUGCUCUCAGCAAGGCCACCUUGUCUGACAGGGCACACGUGGGGCUCACAUGUCACCUCAGGGACGAGUUCUCUGUCUGCCCCCCGCCGAGUUAGUGAUCUGUCACUGGGGUGGCUCCCUGGCCUUGGCUGUCCUGCUUGCUGAGUGCCCUAGCACGUGCCCAGGGACUCGCUUGACAGAAAAGCCUAGAGGACAGAACCACACAAGUCCUUGAGCUGUGUCAGGGGUUCAGGAAGAGCUGUCGAAAAUCACUUUAUAAAAUCCCUCUUGGGCCGGGCGUGGUGGCUCACACCUGUAAUUCCAGCAUUUUGGGAGGCCGAGGUGGGCGGAUCACCUGAGGUCAGGAGUUCGAGACCAGCCUGGCCAACAUGACGAAACCCCAUCUCUACUAAAAAUAAAAAAAUUAGCCAGGCGUGGGCCGGGCGCGGUGGCCCACACGUGUAAUCUCAGCACUUUGGGAGGCUGAGGCGGGUGGAUCACAAGGUUAGGAGAUUGAGACCAUCCUGGCUAACACGGUGAGACCUUGUCUCUACUAAAAAUACAAAAAAUUAGCCAGGCGUGGUGGCAGGCGCCUGUAGUCCCAGCUACUGGGGAGGCUGAGGCAGGAGAAUCGCUUGAACCCAGAAGGUGGAGUUUGCAGUGAGCCAAGAUCAUACUACUGCACCCCAGCCUGGGCAACAGAACAAGACUCUGUAUCAAAAAGAAAGAGAAAGAGAGAGAGAGAGAGAGAGAGAAAGAGAGAAAGAAAAGAGAAGAGAAGAAAAUCCCUCUUGCCUGCAGUGGACAACAAAUAGGAAGACUGGCUCUCCUAACACCGUGGGCACACGUAGCCUCUUUCAGAGUCUCACAGUUCCCAAGACAGAUUUGGGGUUAGACCCGUGGUCCUGCCACUUCCAUGCUCAGUGGCCCUGGCCAAGGUACUUGGCCUCUCUGUGCCUCAGUUGCCUCAUCUGUAAAAUGAGAGGUAAUGGCAGUAACCAACCUCACAGGCUACUAGGAUGGUCAAACGAGUUAAUGCAUAUAAAACCCUUGACUCGUUGUCUGCAUGGGUCAGUGCUGCUUUU
rnacentral:lncRNA from 1 species